AUGUUCAUUUAUAUAUGUUAUAUAAAUAAACUGUUAUUUUAUUUAUUUAUUAUAAUUAUAAAUAAAUAAUAUAAUUUUAUAGAAUAUA